GAAAUGCGAUACGUAAUGCGAAUUGCAAGACCUCGUGAAUCAUUAAAAUUUUGAACGCACAUUGCGCUUUCGGGAUUUUCCCGGUAGCAUGCUUGUCUGAGUGUCUGUGAACCCCACUCAGCGCUAGCUUUCUUUCGAGAAAUAUCUAGCAGCUGGACUCUGACAGUGACUGUAUAUUUUUCGGUCUCUGUCUAAGUAUAUUCGCCACGAGAGUGGUUGAACACUAAGUAUGGCUUAUUUGAGCUAACUACUGUGUCAAACACUCAUCUAUCUCUGGUAGCAUUCGCUUUAGGAGCUUACGAUGAGAGUCUAACACUAUGGUAUGCAAAAACUAGCUAUAUAUUUAGUUGUGACUUCGAGAGAAGUUCAUACUAUUUCCGGAUCUCAGAUCAAGCAAGAGGACCCGCCGAAUUUAAGCAUAUAAUUAAGCGGAGGAAAAGAAACUAACUAGGAUUCCCUC
rnacentral:rRNA from 1 species